rnacentral:ncRNA from 1 species
AGACACACGGGGUGUUUAGUUUAUGCUGUUUAACCAUAUCAGCGUAGUGGCUAGAACCCACAUUGGACUUCUAUAAGGAGAAAUAUAAAAUG